rnacentral:rRNA from 1 species
UACGUAGGGUGCGAGCGUUAAUCGGAAUUACUGGGCGUAAAGUGUGCGCAGGCGGCCGAGCAAGUCGAGUGUGAAAGCCCCCGAGCUUAACUUGGGAAUUGCGCUCGAAACUACUUGGCUGGAGUGUGGCAGAGGAAGGUGGAAUUCCAGGUGUAGCGGUGAAAUGCGUAGAGAUCUGGAGGAACACCGAUGGCGAAGGCAGCCUUCUGGGCCAACACUGACGCUCAUGCACGAAAGCGUGGGGAGCAAACAGG